rnacentral:tRNA from 1 species
GGAAGAUAAGCGAAUGGUCAGCAGCCUCUUUGCUAAAGAGGUACACCCGCAAGGGUCAGCAGGUUCGAUCCCUGCAUCUUCCG